UGGGGAAUCUUGCGCAAUGGACGAAAGUCUGACGCAGCGACGCCGCGUGGGGGAUGAAGGCUUUCGGGUUGUAAACCCCUGUUGCCCGGGACGAACUUCUCCUUUCGAGGAGAUUGACGGUACCGGGUGAGGAAGCACCGGCUAACUCCGUGCCAGCAGCCGCGGUAAUACGGAGGGUGCGAGCGUUGUCCGGAAUCACUGGGCGUAAAGGGCGCGUAGGUGGCGGCCCAAGUCAACGGUGAAAGCUCGUCGCUCAACGACGAGUCGGCCGUCGAUACUGGGCUGCUCGAGCACUGUAGAGGCUCAUGGAAUUCCGGGUGUAGCGGUGGAAUGCGUAGAGAUCCGGAAGAACACCGGUGGCGAAGGCGGUGAGCUGGGCAGUUGCUGACACUGAGGCGCGACAGCGUGGGGAGCAAACAG
rnacentral:rRNA from 1 species